rnacentral:lncRNA from 10 species
CUAAAACUUAAAGUAUAAUAAUAAUUUUUAAAAAAAAAAAAGAAUGUCAGGGAGAUGGAAGUCACAGUAUUUUGUAAGUUGAUCUUAGAAGUGACUUCUGGCUGGUCACAGUGGCUCACGCCUGUAAUCCUUGCACUUUGGGAGGCUGAGGUGGAAGAAUCACUUGAAGCCAGGAGUUCAAGACCAGGCUGGGCAAUACAGCAAGACCGUUAUCUCUACAAAAGAUAAGAAAAUUAGCCAAGCAUGGUAGCACAUGCCUGUAGUACUAGCUACUCUGGGGACUGAGGUGAGAGGACAGCUUGAGCCCAGGAGUUUGAGGUUACAGUGAGCUAUGAUGGUGCCACUGCACCCCAGCCUGGGUGACAGAGCAAAGCCCUGUCUCUAAUAAAUAAACAAAUAAUUUUAAAAAGAAAAAAAAAAAGAAUCAGUUACCAACAUAUAAAAUUCAGAGGAUUUCAAACAAAACUUAAGGCUUCUGUCUUCUCUUGGAACAUAAGCCCAUCAUCUGGAGCCCACACUGUCUGCCCCUCAGAGGGCAGGGGACCCCCACUCACCCUACCUGGCCAGCUGUACCCCAAGUACCAGCUGGGACCCAGGUUCCUCCUAGUGCAGAAAUAAUGGGGAGCUGAUUAAACCGUUCAGCAGAAGCUCCAGCCACUCAGUGUUUUCUCAGAAUCACUGCACUUGUAAAAGGAGACCUAGGAGAGACAGCCAUGCUUAGAUUGGAGCAAUACGUUGCUAACAAAGAAUUUCAGGCAUUGGCAAGAGAGCAAUUGUGGGACAGGGAGUCUUUCUGAGCCUUUGAAAAUGCUGCCUCCUCCUCCUUUAAGGCCAGAAUGUGCUAUAAACCCAGAUAAUUAGUGAGGCAACAUUGCAUAGCGCUCUCUCCAGCCUGAAGCCUCCUAGCACUCUGAACCUUUUCCUGGCUGGAGUUUCCAGACACAGAAUAAAGGCCAUCACUGUGUUGCCAUCUUUCACCCAUGACGUUUGUGUAGACAUCUCAACGAUCCCAGGAGGUGCCUGUUAAUGGCCUCUGCAGCCUGCAAACACAAGGCUUCCUCUAGGCUUUCCUGAAGAAAAUAUCACAUUUAAUUUUAAAAUCAUGAUUUUCAAAACAAUGACCUUCCUCCAAAGACAGGAACCACACACCUGGCUGGUUUGGGCCAGGUGGCGGCUCUGAGCUCAGCCAGGUGGCCUGUGGGCCGGCAUUGACUUUGUGGACUGUUGUGGGAUCCCGCUGGUGAGAAAGGUGCUGAGCACCUAAGUGCCAUGGACAGGUUUCUCAUUAGUCCUGAGCAGCGAAUGCAAGCCAGCCCCAGGCAGUGAGACCAAAGACUCUGUCUCUGCUGCAGAACGUCCCUUUUGUGAGGCAGGGCUGGCCUCAGAGGCAGCAUUGUGUAGUCAGAGGCUUCUCUCCUAUGAACCCCCAUGAAGAGCCCCCUUGGGUUCCCAGGCCCCAGGUGGGUUGGCAUCCAUGAAGUUCUGAGAGUCAGCAAUCAAGGUUCUGGUCCACAGAGCACGUCAGGAAGGUAAGGUGAUGGAGGAUGGAGCAGGAAAGGGGAGAGGCAGCAGAGACGUAGAAGGAGACUGACUGAGGACACGUGGGCCCAAGACACCCAGUGCUGGCUUCCCACUCAGAAGCCAGGUGGGAGGAAAGUGGACCAGGGCAGCCCGCUAGCGCCAGUGGCCUCCAGCUCCACCCGGAGAUGAACGCCAAGCUGAAGUACUGCUGAUCAGCCCAGGCCAGCGGGAGGAAAGUGCCAGUGGCUUCGUCCCUCCUAGAUGGUGCGGCAGGCACGAGAUGCCCAGCCUUGAUGCACCUGCCCCAGACGCUCAACACUUUCAGCAAACCUCCCACUGCUCAUGGGGAAAGUGCUGGCUCACAGAGGCGUAGGAUCUUCCAGAUGCCGACCCUCACCCUCCACCCUUCCACCUGCAGAUGAGUUCCUGGGAUGGGAAGAAUCAUCCAUGGUCUUCCAAAAGUGGUUCGCGGACCCCUGGGUGUCUCCACAACACCUUCAGGGGUUCGCAAAGUAGAAACUGCCUUCACAAUUAUUGUAAUGCAUUGUCUGCUCUUUACUGGGUUGCAUUUGUGGCAAUGGAGGGACCUAGCAGGGUGGGAGCUGGGAGCAACAGCAACCGCACCUACGGGCAUCCUGUUCCCCAUGGCCCUUGCCACAGAAAACACAAGGUCAGUUUGGCUUAAGCAUAUCUUUGAUGAGGAAAUAAAAUUAUCAACUUACUAAAGCUUGACCCUGAGUGCACGUCUUUUUGGUUAUCAAGGAAGGACGUACGAAAUUCCUCUGCUGUAACUGAAGGAAGGAAUUUGUCCCAAGAAGAUUCCUACCAUAAUCUGGAUGAUGUGCGUUGUGGCUGAACCCACCACUUUUCAUGGGCUGCCAUGUUCCCUGUAAGGGUGCUGGAAGGUGAUCUGCAGCUAUUCAUAGGUGGCAUUUGGCACUUAAAAAAAAUCAGGUCUGGG